CAGCAGCCACGGGAAUACGUAGGUGACAAGCGUUGUCCGGAAUUAUUGGGCGUAAAGGGAGCGCUGGCGGUUGGAAUAGUCUGAUGUGAAAGCCCACGGCUUAACCGUGGAAUUGCAUUGGAAACUGUCCAACUUGAAUGCAGAAGAGGAAAGCGGAAUUCCAUGUAUAGCGGUGAAAUGCGUAGAUAUAUGGAGGAACACCAGUGGCGAAGGCGGCUUUCUGGUCUGUGAUUGACGCUGAGGCUCGAAAGCGUGGGGAGCGAACAGGAUUAGAUACCCCCGUAGUCCCUGUCUCUUAUAC
rnacentral:rRNA from 1 species